GACGAACGCUGGCGGCGUGCCUAAUACAUGCAGGUCGAACGCACAGUUUAUACCGUAGCUUGCUCCACCAUAGACUGUGAGUUGCGAACGGGUGAGUAACGCGUAGGUUACCUGCCUGGUAUCGGGGGAUAACUAUUGGACUCGAUAGCUAAUAUCGCUUAAUAUUAAUUGUUCCAUGGUAAUUAAUUGAAUUGUUCACUUUCACCACUACCAGAUGGACCUGCGGUGUAUUAGCUAGUAGGGGAGGUAACGGCUCAACUAGGCGACGAUACAUAGCCGACCUGGAAAGGGGGUCGGCCACACCGGGACUGAGACAAGGGCCAGACUCCUUCGGGAGGCAGCAGGAGGGAAACUUCGGCAAUGGACGGAAGGCUGGACGAGCAACGCCGGGUGGGAGAAGAAGGUUUUCGGAUCGGAAAGAUCGGUUGUAAGAGAAGAAAGGGUGUGGGAGUGGAAAGUGCACACUGUGACGGUAUCUGACCAGAAAGGGACGGCUAACUACGUG
rnacentral:rRNA from 1 species